rnacentral:lncRNA from 1 species
CAAUAUAAUUAUAACAAAUAAAUUUGGUAGUAUAUUAAAGCAAUUAUUAUGUGCUGAACUGUUCUAAGCACUUUAGUUUGUUUAAUCUCAGCUAACUGUGGGGAGUGUAGUAUUAUUUCCAUUAAUAUAUAUGAGAAUUCCUGACAAUAGAAAGACUUCUCUCAGUCUUACAGUGCUGUAAACAUCAGAGUGAGGAUUUGAACCCAUCCGCUGUGACUUUGACCCGUGCUCUAACCGUUGCUGUAUGAUACACUCUUUUAAUGUGAGGCAAAUGUUUACAUAGAACUUUAUAUUGGGUUGCAGUGAUAACAUAAAGUUUAUUUACAGUUUGUAAUAUCAACAUGUCAUGUGUACAGUAUAAUUUGAACAUUGUUUUAGAACUGUUAAUUUUUCUUUCAUUGUGCUGGCUUAAGAUUAAUGUUUUAUUCCAGACAAAAGUGUUUAGGAAUUGACUGAUUGAAAGAAAUGGCAUGAGGGAAAUAAAUCCCACUUUUUAGCAGUUACCUUCACCUUUAAUAUUUGAAGCAGUUUGAUUGGAGAAGGGGUAUGGUUUAUGUUUUGCCCACCAUAUAUCCCUGACUUGAAGAUAUGUAGAUAUAUCCCUAAGCAAACACUGGUAAAUUCUCCCACCUGAUAGUGUAUUAUGGAAGACUGCACACGUAACAACACAGUUGGUAGAACUUGGUAAAAAAUUGAGAAGAGAGCCUGGCAGCUGUGUGGCAGGGCUGAACAUACACACUGACAUAGAAGCUGAGCUGAGGGGGAAGCCUGGAUAGCAGUGUCCAUCUGCAGCUCUUCUCGCUGUUGCUCACUGUGACCUGACUUCAAGGACCGAGAGAAGUGAUGCCCAUAGGCUGGUGUCCUGCUGGUGCCUUCCCAGCUUCGAGGAUCAUCUUCACUGUGUACUUUGGCUGUGGCAACUCAACAUGUGAACUCAUGCCUUAGUUUGCUACUGAACAUUUUAUCACCAUCCUACCCACCAAUAGAAUACAGUGACUUUUUUCUGUUUAAGGCAAACUUUUGCUUUAUCUUUUACAAUCUCUCUUUUUUUUUUUUUGCAUCUUAAUAUAAUAACUUUGCCAUCUUGAUAUUUUAAUGGCAAAACUAAGACACUUGUGAAAACUAAGUCAGCUCUUAUAAGGAGGAACAUGUAUUCUAGAUUACCAACAAAAGGCGUAGCACUUCCAAUAGGAUGCCGGAGUGAAAGUUCUGUCUUAUAAAAAGAAGCAAACAUUGGAGUGAAAUACUGAUUGGCAGAAAGUAGGAAAUGGUGAGGAACAUAAGAUGUGAGUGAAGGAACAAGGUACUACUGUUUUAAAGUAUGCUUUUAAAAUAAAUACAUCUAGUUAUGUAGGACCUGUGCUGUCUUCAAACUUUGAGUACUUUUGCUGAAUGCAGGCCUUUAUAUUUGUCUUUGGCCUGCAUAUGAAUUUUUAUAACCAUUAAAUUUUUUUUUCUUUUUACCAGCUCAGUCUAUGCAUUUGACUUAAUGCAGUUACUCUGCCAGUGUUAAUUAUUUUGAGAAGUGCCAAGAUGACUAUUCAUUUCCUAGCAUGAGGGUUUUGUUUGGUUGUUGUGGGAUCUUUUGUUUUUAAUGUGUGUAUUUUGCCUCUGAGAGUACGUCCAUUGUGUGCAUUCCGGGUCGCUGCUGCAGAGGCCUGAGGAUCGUAACAGCUACCCUGGAAGUGUAGCUGCAGGUGGCUGAGCACGGUGUGCCUGCUGGGCCAACUCAAGCCCAGACCCUCUGCAAGAGAAGCAAGUGUGUUAGCUGCCGCACCGCUUCUCUAGCCCGUCUGUACUCUAGAUUCUGUUUGAAUCCAAGAGGAAAAUUCCUUGGUGGCUGUAGGAUGAGAAUUGGUAUGGAAAUAAAACUGAACAAUAGAACAAAGUUCCCAAACUGAUGUUCAACUAAGAGAACAUCUGAGAUGAACAGGAGGUAGGGUAGUCAACAUAUAAAUACAUUUCUGCUGUGUCCAAAUUGGAGGCCCCAACCCAUUGCACGUUAUGCAGUCACUUUAGUAAACUGUGAAAUAGAACACAUUUGCUGUUAGAGGAUAAGAGUAACAGUUGUUUUCUGGGACUUUUGUUUUUAUGUCUACUGGAAAUAUAUUCGUUAAAUUUUCAAAAUAAUAUAUUCCUUGAUACACAUUUUUUUCAGAAUUAUUGCAAUAAGGAUAUUUUGACAGAAAGGCUGACAGGAGAGAACAGUUUUAAAACUAUAUAAAGUAAUACAUAUUAGGGCAGAGAUAAUUCUCAACUGUUAGGAGCAUUGGCUGCUUUUGUAGAGAACUGGGGUUGAUUCCCAGGCCCCACAAGCAGCUCACAACUAUCUGUUGUUAGGUCCAGUCAAGGGGAUUCAACACUCUCUUCUGCCUUCCUUGGCAGUGCAUGCACCUUUUAAUAGGAUUGAAUUCUAAAAAAGAAAGGGUCUGGUGAGAUGGUGUAGCAGUUAAGAGCACUGGCUUCUCUUCUGACGGUCCUGAGUUCACUUACCAGCAUCCACAUGGUGGCUCAUGUCCACCUAUAAAGGGAUCUGAUGUCCUCUUCUGGCAUGCAGGUGUUCAUGCAGACAGAGCACUCAUACAUAAAAAAAUUAAAUGGAAAAAAAGGCCAUGGUGGUGGCUCAUACCUUUAAUCCCAAUAUUUGGGAGGCAGAGGUAGACAGAUCUCUAAGUUUGAGGCCAGCCUCCUCUACAUAGUGAGUUGCAGGAUAGUCAGGAUUACCUAUACAGAGAAACCCUGUCUUGAAAAGCUAGAGGGGGGCAGGAGGGGAAGGGUUGGGGAGGGGAAGAGAGGAGAAGAGAG